rnacentral:rRNA from 1 species
CCUACGGGUGGCAGCAGUAGGGAAUCUUUCACAAUGGGCGAAAGCCUGAUGGAGCAACGCCGCGUGCAGGAUGAAGGCCUUCGGGUUGUAAACUGCUUUUAUAAGCGAGAAAUAUGAUGGUAACUUAUGAAUAAGGAUCGGCUAACUACGUGCCAGCAGCCGCGGUCAUACGUAGGAUCCGAGCAUUAUCCGGAGUGACUGGGUGUAAAGAGUUGCGUAGGUGGCAUAAUAAGUAGCUAGUGAAAUCUGGUGGCUCAACCAUUCAGACUAUGAGCUAAACUGUUAAGCUCGAGACCGUUAGGGGUAACUGGAAUUUGUGGUGUAGGGGUGAAAUGCGUAGAUAUUAGAAGGAACACCAAUAGCGUAGGCAGGUUACUGGGACGGUUCUGACACUAAGGCACGAAAGCGUAGGGAGCAAACGGGAUUAGAUACCCGUGUAGUC